UGAACGAGAGUAACCCCAGGGGCGGUGCUGACCGAGAGUAACCCUGGGAGAGCGAGCCUCACCCUCGCUGGGCGCCCGCGCCCCUGACCCGCCCGGGGCGGGCGAGAGGAGGCCAGGCUCUGAGGCUGACAUCCAACGCCCUCCCUAGAGUCUCCUGUACUCCAGGUUGACCUCAAACUCUUUUGAGCUUCUGAUCUUUUUACCUCUACCUCAUGAAAGCCGGGAGGACUAACACUUGCCACCAUUCUCAGUGGAGAUAACGUUGAAAACUGCCAAGAGAUAGGCAAGGUCGUGCUGGUCAAGCUGAUCACAGGCAAUCCCGACCUCAUCAGCCAAUUGUGCUGCGGCUGCCCAUCAGCGUAUGCUCCUGUCUCUUGCCUGUUGUGGUCUUCGGCAGCUUAUGGCACGUGUCAUGCUGUCAUUUCCUGCCAUCACCCUGUAGGUCUUUGAUCUGCUUUCCCCCCAGGAGACACAUCAUCGUUGAUCAUCUGCAGGUCUGUCCAGUCCCAUUCUUCAUUCCCUACACAUCAGCCUAGUGACGUCCAAGGGGACCAGUUGCGCCCUGCAGUUGUGUUUAUUACUUCUGUGUCACUGAAAUUCCCUCAGUCUGGUUCCUUUCCAUUCUGGGCGCUACUUCCCUACCUUGAGACUUCCCUGGGGUCUAACCUAUGACCCUGCUCAUCACCUCCUUGGACCCAUGAUUAUUUUCACCUGUCUUGAAAGUGGCUUCUCCAAAGCCCACCUGACUGUGCCCCAAGCUGCCGGAGAUUGUUUCAGUGGUUCCUCAAACGGUGAAUAAAUAUUGACUGAGCCUGUCCUUGCAGCCCUCUCCUGUCACAUGCUGCAUUUCACAGAGAAGGACUGUAUUUAUUUCAGGAAAUCUUUGGCAUUGCGCUGCACUGGCCCUGCCCACCACACUGACAGAGCCUUGAUCUCUGGCUGGAUCCCGAUACUAAGGGGUCCCCCUCUGUUGUAUAACCAUUGAGCUGUAUUUCCUCCUUGUACUCAAUCACGGUAAAUUCUGCCUUAGGACUAAUAGAGUUCUUGGUUUUGUUAAGAUGGCUCAGGCAGAAACAGAGCAAUAAAUUAUGUCUGUGAGCUUGCUGGA